GAAAAUGCCUAGAUGAGUAUUCUUACUCCAUAAACA
rnacentral:tRNA from 1 species